rnacentral:rRNA from 1 species
CCUACGGGUGGCAGCAGUGGGGAAUAUUGCGCAAUGGGCGAAAGCCUGACGCAGCGACGCCGCGUGAGGGAUGAAGGUCUUCGGAUCGUAAACCUCUGUCAGCAGGGAAGAACGGUCACUGUGCUAAUCAGCAGUGAAUUGACGGUACCUGCAAAGGAAGCACCGGCUAACUCCGUGCCAGCAGCCGCGGUAAUACGGCGGGUGCGAGCGUUAAUCGGAAUUACUGGGCGUAAAGCGCUCGUAGGCGGUAUGUCAAGUCAAGGGUGAAAUCCCCGCGCUCAACGUGGGAACUGCCUUUGAAACUGGAAAACUGGAGGGUGUGAGAGGAUAGUGGAAUUCCAGGUGUAGGAGUGAAAGCCGUAGAUAUCUGGAGGAACAUCAGUGGCGAAGGCGACUAUCUGGCACAUAACUGACGCUGAGGAGCGAAAGCGUGGGUAGCAAACAGGAUUAGAUACCCCAGUAGUC